rnacentral:rRNA from 1 species
UCGAAACUUGCCAAAGCAGAAAACUUGCGAACUUGUCUCAUCCGGUGGGAAUUGNGUGGGUUGGGCCUGGUUGUCCUUCCUUCCGCCUUUCCUUUGCGAGUAGAUGUGCGCGGAGCUCUCGGGCAGCGUGUUCCAUCCACUCGUCAACAACGAACCCCGGCGCAAACCGCGCCAAGGACAAUUGAACAAAGCUUGUGCACGUCCCCUGCCCGUUUUCGGGUGGCGUUGGNGUACACAUCUUUUGAAUAACUAAACGACUCUCGGCAACGGAUAUCUCGGCUCUUGCAUCGAUGAAGAACGUAGCGAAAUGCGAUACUUGGUGUGAAUUGCAGAAUCCCGUGAACCAUCGAGUCUUUGAACGCAAGUUGCGCCUGAAGCCAUUAGGUUGAAGGCACGCCUGCCUGGGCGUCACGCAUUGCGUUGCCCACUCACCCCCGUGCCUCCUGUGGGCAUGUAAGUGCGUGNGCGGAUAUUGGCCCCCCGUUCACAUUUGUGCUCGGUCGGCCUAAAAAAACAGUCCCCAAUGACGGACAUCACGACAAGUGGUGGUUGCCAAACCGUCGCGUCAUGUCGUGCAUGCCAGAUUUUGUCGUGGGCUGUCUCAU